UACGUAGGUGGCAAGCGUUGUCCGGAUUUAUUGGGCGUAAAGAGCUCGUAGGUGGUUCGGUAAGUCGGAUGUGAAAUCUCCAGGCUCAACCUGGAGGGGUCAUUCGAUACUGCCGUGACUAGAGUUCGGUAGGGGAGUGUGGAAUUCCUGGUGGAGCGGUGAAAUGCGCAGAUAUCAGGAGGAACACCCGUAGCGAAGGCGGCACUCUGGGCCGAUACUGACACUGAGGAGCGAAAGCGUGGGGAGCGAACAGG
rnacentral:rRNA from 1 species